rnacentral:rRNA from 1 species
UACGUAGGUGGCAAGCGUUGUCCGGAUUUACUGGGCGUAAAGAGCGCGCAGGCGGUCGUUCAAGUCGCGUGUGAAAGCCCCCGGCUCAACCGGGGAGGGUCAUUCGAUACUGCUCGACUCGAAGGCAGGAGAGGGAAGCGGAAUUCCCGGUGUAGUGGUGAAAUGCGUAGAUAUCGGGAGGAACACCAGUGGCGAAGGCGGCUUUCUGGCCUGUUCUUGACGCUGAGGCGCGAAAGCUAGGGGAGCAAACGGG